rnacentral:rRNA from 1 species
UAGUACCCCAUAUGCCGAGAGGUGAAAUGAAAUUCGCCUGAGGAUGAGCCCGCGUCUGAUUAGCUAGUUGGUGGGGUAAGAGCCUACCAAGGCGACGAUCAGUAGCUGGUCUGAGAGGAUGAUCAGCCACACUGGGACUGAGACACGGCCCAGACUCCUACGGGAGG